AAUACUGGUGUACAGAAACCGGCUACAGUCGGACGUGGUUCCUUCAUCCAAUUGGCCGUUUAGUAAAUUUCUUUCGGAGUGUCGUUUUUAUUUUUUAUCAAAAAAUUGUAUGUGUCAAUGACAAAAUCGAAGAGAAAGUUCGCGAUCACCGACAAAUUUCUGCCAAGGCUCGCUAAGAACCUCCGCACCAGAAAAGGUAGCCGUCGGGCGAACACCGGUAACCGCUUGGAACACGCGGUGCUCACGCACCUUCAGCACGUGCCGUAGAUUCUCCAGCACUCUUCUCCUCAUCAUCCAUCCCGGCACCGGCAUCAGCGAUCAUGGCCCGUGGUGACGAAUGCAAGACCGCCUCUAAGGCUAACUACGCGUGCAAGAACCUGGACGUCACUGCUCCGAUGAACAAAACGGCGGCUCAAACCAGCCAGCAGCCGGCCAAGAAACAAGAGCAGAAGAAGGACUAUGGAGCGUGGGGCUCCAUCUACAAGGACAAGAAGAACUUCACAGAUAUGCACUUCUGCUGAGCUGCACCUGUGCCGGGCAUUCAUUGCUUCCAUCAUCAUGUCGCAAACAUUCUGCAUCUGACCGGACCUAUCCAAAAGUCGCAACAAACGGUACCAUCUCACAACGGUAAUUUAGAAAUCACUUUACAAGACAUAAUUGGUGAAGAGUAUCGUGAAAUUCCAAUAAAUGUGCUGCAAGGACUAUGAAACGAGUGCGGAAAUCGAAACUCAAAAUGGCUACAAAAAUACGUUUAUUAAAUGCACCGUGUGUCUUCGCUCCGUCUAAAAAUUGUACACAAAAACGUUGUUCACUAAAAGAUAGGUUUAUCCAUCCACUAGCCGUAUUUAGUCUUGUAAAUGUGGAACCAAAUAAAUUCAUGUAACUUUAAAGUUUGUUUGUGACGUACAGCUUAUUUCCACGUCUUCAUCAUCGGGGUAGGGUAUCUUUUCUAACAAUGCUUUGUAUUUCAUAUUAACAUUAAACAGCAUCCCAUC